GGUGAGAUGGCCGAGCGGUCUAAGGCGCCAGACUAAGGAUCAGGACAUUAGAUGUCCAAUCUGCAUAACGUAACUUGCGAUAUCUGGUCCGAAAGGGCAUGGGUUCGAAUCCCAUUCUCAUCA